rnacentral:lncRNA from 1 species
AGACUUUGGCACGUAUUCAAGGCAAUUUCUACUAGAAGGGUAUGCAUUCCACCAUUCGUACUUUUGUCUCUCAGUGUCCCACUUGCCAACAAACCAAGUAUGAGACACAAAAACCAGCAGUCUCUCCGUUAGGCCUCCCCAUCAAUCGUCAUGUCAAGAGAGAAUCGUCAAACUGGGGCAAUCCUCCCUACCCAAACCUUUCUACAUUUCCAAGUCGUUCCUACUGUGUGCAACAAAAAUUGGGGCAAUCUUGUGAGCCUAACAUGCUUAAACAUUAACAACAUUUCCCUAAAUGAGGUGAACACAGAUCUUAACGUUGCCCACAAAUAAUCAUUCGAUCAUUUACUUUUCACACCCAGGACCCAUACUUUCUCGGGUUCAUGCCAAUUUGGAUUGCAAUAAGCGGUGAAGGGAAUUUGAAUUCAUGGUUGCACUCGUUUCCUCUUCAUUAAAAGACUCAUUGUCUCUGGACAUUAUUUUCAAUGAACGCAUUUCAAAUGUACAUCAAGUACGACAACGGUAUUGACAACAGAUUCCAAACAUGAAUUUUUUUUUUUAAAAAAAAACAAAAACAAAAAAAAACAAAAACCAAAGCAA